ensembl:lincRNA
AUGUCACAGUUUCUCUCACUUUGUAGAUUUAGACUUUCUGAUCUCACAGUGACCAUGAUUCAGCUACUUAAUCAUCAUCUACUUGGUCAUCAGAGGGGUAUGACUCAAGUGGAGAGACCUAAGAGCCUUUUAGAGAAAACUGCCUUCAUGCAGAAGAGAGCACCCAGGCAUUCACAGAAGUUCCUGAAGAUAGAACGCUGUAUUUCUACAAGAGUCAAGAAGUGCGAACAAAAGGACAGAGGUGUCACCGUGGCCCAAGCCGAGGGACCUGUGCAGGUGUGUCCGACAGGAGCAGGAUGGAGAAGACUGGAGCUUUCACUGUCCCGGGGAGAUGAGGCCUGCUUGAGUGAGCAGGCUUGAUGUCUCCCUCAAGCAGCAGUCGGGAUAGAAAGAGCAGAGCCUGGAGCCCCUGGAAUUAAAGAUGGGGCGGGAUGCUGGCCAGAGGCUGUAGGAGGAGAGCAGCAGCUGGUGGUGUGGUGUGGAGGACGGGGUUUCUAAGCACAUGGCUGUGUGGUGGGGCCUCCCGGCGGUGGGUGGCUAUGGAGUAACAAAUAAAUAAAUGGUGGAGUCUCAGAGGCUGUGUUACACUCCUGACAGUGACAGCUGAGGUUUUGACACAAGUAGGCAGAAGACUUGACCCCUCGGCGGGUGCUGCCACACCCGGGGCACCAGAGAAGUUGUCUGAUCACCUUCUGCGGGUUACCCAUAGACAGGCAACAUUCUCCCAGAAGGAAAGUAGGAUAGCUUACGGCUAACAAUUGUGAGGGGGAUCAAAAAAUACAGUUAAGUUUACAUUUAAAAUUUUUAUUUUAGUAAAAGACACAUUGCCAUUAUUCCCAUUCAAAACUACCACCCCCCCCACACACAUGGUUUGAACACAAUCAUCCUACCAAUCUUGCCACUUUCUGAAGCAGUUCUAGAAGUCUGUUGAACAUUUUUAGUUGCACUGUCCUGGCUGCUUCAAUGUCCUGAAUCAAUUCAAAAUGUUUACCUUUCCUGGUCAUUUUGACUUUGAGUACGAGCCACAAGGUGCAUGGUACAAGAUUUGGUGAAUAAGGUGGAUGAUGGGACGAGUUUGUUCAAGGUGAGGGGAGGACUUUGAGGGAUUAAGCUAUUAAGCAAUGUGUCUUUUACUGUAAUAACUUUUUAAAAAAUUAAAUAUCCACCAUACAUUUUGGUAGCACCUUUUAUCUGCCUGGUUGACAGGACUGGGCAAAUGCUGAGGUCAGAGCUGCCGUGCACAUGAUUCCCCAGGGCUUAGGUGACACCAUGUGCUGGGCCCUGGGGAACCAAGGGGGAUCUUUCCAGCAGCCCAUGUUGCUCUUCUUCCUCCUCCUCUUCUUCCUCCUCCUCCUCUUCUGCCUCUUCUUCUCCCUCUGCCUUCUUUGAGACAGGGUCUCACUGUGAAUUUCAGAUUGGACUUGAACUCACUGUGUAGCUCAGGCUGGCCUUGAACUUGCAGUGAUCCUCCUGCCUCAGCCUCCUGACUGCUAGGAUUAUAGGUGUAUGCCACCACACCCAGCCCCAAGUUGCUUUUCUUGCAGCUGACAGCUGUCACCCUUGUCCUGUCCUCAGUGCAGGAGAGGGGUGAUCAUCUGGGAAGUCCCUCAACAGCCAUUGCUAUUCUGUAGAAUCUCGGGGGGACAUUGCCAUCCAUAGCCACUCUUUCAAAUGUCCUUUCCUGUUGGUGACGAAACACAUCCUCGCAUUCUACUAGAUCCUCCCAGUUAUGUUCUGAGUGCUGGGGCUUCAUUACCACACUGCAGGAACCAUGUUCUCAACCGUGUGACCAGCACAACUCUUAACCGAGCCCCUCAUGCAGAACUGUAGUUUAUAAAUGUCUGGCGAAUCGGUGCAUAGAGGAUGAAUGAAUGAAGUGCUGGCUUUGGUUAGGGCAAACGGUUGAAAUGCUUAUGUGUCAUAAUCACGUGCUUAGACUGUUGAUUACAGGAAAGAUGGUUGUCAAACAUCCCUACCACACACACACACUCAUACACACAUGUACACACACACACACACACACACACUAUUUUGUCCUCUAGACUUCUCUCCUACUAAAUAAACUAAAUACCCCUGAUAACUUCCCUGAAAGGUCUAUUUCUUAAACUAUGGGUAACAUGUGUUUGUUGAUUCAUUCUAUAAGUGUUCAUUGAGUACCACUUUGUCCUGAGCCUUUCUUUCCAGGUGCUAGAAAUUCAACUAAUGAAUAAAAACAACAGAGAGGAUUAGGUUUUUGGGACGGGGAGAAAUUAGGCAAUACAAUAGGGAAAAUCAAGAAGAGGGAAUUAG